UGGGGAAUAUUGGACAAUGGGCGAAAGCCUGAUCCAGCCAUGCCGCGUGUGUGAAGAAGGUCUUCGGAUUGUAAAGCACUUUAAGUUGGGAGGAAGGGCAUUAACCUAAUACGUUAGUGUUUUGACGUUACCGACAGAAUAAGCACCGGCUAACUCUGUGCCAGCAGCCGCGGUAAUACAGAGGGUGCAAGCGUUAAUCGGAAUUACUGGGCGUAAAGCGCGCGUAGGUGGUUUGUUAAGUUGGAUGUGAAAUCCCCGUGCUGAACCUGGGAACUGCAUUCAAAACUGACUGACUAGAGUAUGGUAGAGGGUGGUAGAAUUUCCUGUGUAGCGGUGAAAUGCGUAGAUAUAGGAGGGAACACCAGUGGCGAAGGCGACCACCUGGACUAAUACUGACACUGAGGUGCGAAAGCGUGUGGAGCAAACA
rnacentral:rRNA from 1 species